GGUUAAGCGACUAAGCGUACACGGUGGAUGCCCUGGCAGUCAGAGGCGAUGAAGGACGUGCUAAUCUGCGAUAAGCGUCGGUAAGGUGAUAUGAACCGUUAUAACCGGCGAUUUCCGAAUGGGGAAACCCAGUGUGAUUCGUCACACUAUCAUUAACUGAAUCCAUAGGUUAAUGAGGCGAACCGGGGGAACUGAAACAUCUAAGUACCCCGAGGAAAAGAAAUCAACCGAGAUUCCCCCAGUAGCGGCGAGCGAACGGGGAGCAGCCCAGAGCCUGAAUCAGUGUGUGUGUUAGUGGAAGCGUCUGGAAAGGCGUGCGAUACAGGGUGACAGCCCCGUACACAAAAAUGCACAUGCUGUGAGCUCGAUGAGUAGGGCGGGACACGUGGUAUCCUGUCUGAAUAUGGGGGGACCAUCCUCCAAGGCUAAAUACUCCUGACUGACCGAUAGUGAACCAGUACCGUGAGGGAAAGGCGAAAAGAACCCCGGCGAGGGGAGUGAAAAAGAACCUGAAACCGUGUACGUACAAGCAGUGGGAGCACGCUUAGGCGUGUGACUGCGUACCUUUUGUAUAAUGGGUCAGCGACUUAUAUUCUGUAGCAAGGUUAACCGAAUAGGGGAGCCGAAGGGAAACCGAGUCUUAACUGGGCGUUAAGUUGCAGGGUAUAGACCCGAAACCCGGUGAUCUAGCCAUGGGCAGGUUGAAGGUUGGGUAACACUAACUGGAGGACCGAACCGACUAAUGUUGAAAAAUUAGCGGAUGACUUGUGGCUGGGGGUGAAAGGCCAAUCAAACCGGGAGAUAGCUGGUUCUCCCCGAAAGCUAUUUAGGUAGCGCCUCGUGAAUUCAUCUCCGGGGGUAGAGCACUGUUUCGGCAAGGGGGUCAUCCCGACUUACCAACCCGAUGCAAACUGCGAAUACCGGAGAAUGUUAUCACGGGAGACACACGGCGGGUGCUAACGUCCGUCGUGAAGAGGGAAACAACCCAGACCGCCAGCUAAGGUCCCAAAGUCAUGGUUAAGUGGGAAACGAUGUGGGAAGGCCCAGACAGCCAGGAUGUUGGCUUAGAAGCAGCCAUCAUUUAAAGAAAGCGUAAUAGCUCACUGGUCGAGUCGGCCUGCGCGGAAGAUGUAACGGGGCUAAACCAUGCACCGAAGCUGCGGCAGCGACACUAUGUGUUGUUGGGUAGGGGAGCGUUCUGUAAGCCUGUGAAGGUGUACUGUGAGGUAUGCUGGAGGUAUCAGAAGUGCGAAUGCUGACAUAAGUAACGAUAAAGCGGGUGAAAAGCCCGCUCGCCGGAAGACCAAGGGUUCCUGUCCAACGUUAAUCGGGGCAGGGUGAGUCGACCCCUAAGGCGAGGCCGAAAGGCGUAGUCGAUGGGAAACAGGUUAAUAUUCCUGUACUUGGUGUUACUGCGAAGGGGGGACGGAGAAGGCUAUGUUGGCCGGGCGACGGUUGUCCCGGUUUAAGCGUGUAGGCUGGUUUUCCAGGCAAAUCCGGAAAAUCAAGGCUGAGGCGUGAUGACGAGGCACUACGGUGCUGAAGCAACAAAUGCCCUGCUUCCAGGAAAAGCCUCUAAGCAUCAGGUAACAUCAAAUCGUACCCCAAACCGACACAGGUGGUCAGGUAGAGAAUACCAAGGCGCUUGAGAGAACUCGGGUGAAGGAACUAGGCAAAAUGGUGCCGUAACUUCGGGAGAAGGCACGCUGAUAUGUAGGUGAAGUCCCUCGCGGAUGGAGCUGAAAUCAGUCGAAGAUACCAGCUGGCUGCAACUGUUUAUUAAAAACACAGCACUGUGCAAACACGAAAGUGGACGUAUACGGUGUGACGCCUGCCCGGUGCCGGAAGGUUAAUUGAUGGGGUUAGCGCAAGCGAAGCUCUUGAUCGAAGCCCCGGUAAACGGCGGCCGUAACUAUAACGGUCCUAAGGUAGCGAAAUUCCUUGUCGGGUAAGUUCCGACCUGCACGAAUGGCGUAAUGAUGGCCAGGCUGUCUCCACCCGAGACUCAGUGAAAUUGAACUCGCUGUGAAGAUGCAGUGUACCCGCGGCAAGACGGAAAGACCCCGUGAACCUUUACUAUAGCUUGACACUGAACAUUGAGCCUUGAUGUGUAGGAUAGGUGGGAGGCUUGGAAGUGUGGACGCCAGUCUGCAUGGAGCCGACCUUGAAAUACCACCCUUUAAUGUUUGAUGUUCUAACGUUGACCCGUAAUCCGGGUUGCGGACAGUGUCUGGUGGGUAGUUUGACUGGGGCGGUCUCCUCCUAAAGAGUAACGGAGGAGCACGAAGGUUGGCUAAUCCUGGUCGGACAUCAGGAGGUUAGUGCAAUGGCAUAAGCCAGCUUGACUGCGAGCGUGACGGCGCGAGCAGGUGCGAAAGCAGGUCAUAGUGAUCCGGUGGUUCUGAAUGGAAGGGCCAUCGCUCAACGGAUAAAAGGUACUCCGGGGAUAACAGGCUGAUACCGCCCAAGAGUUCAUAUCGACGGCGGUGUUUGGCACCUCGAUGUCGGCUCAUCACAUCCUGGGGCUGAAGUAGGUCCCAAGGGUAUGGCUGUUCGCCAUUUAAAGUGGUACGCGAGCUGGGUUUAGAACGUCGUGAGACAGUUCGGUCCCUAUCUGCCGUGGGCGCUGGAGAACUGAGGGGGGCUGCUCCUAGUACGAGAGGACCGGAGUGGACGCAUCACUGGUGUUCGGGUUGUCAUGCCAAUGGCACUGCCCGGUAGCUAAAUGCGGAAGAGAUAAGUGCUGAAAGCAUCUAAGCACGAAACUUGCCCCGAGAUGAGUUCUCCCUGACUCCUUGAGAGUCCUGAAGGAACGUUGAAGACGACGACGUUGAUAGGCCGGGUGUGUAAGCGCAGCGAUGCGUUGAGCUAACCGGUACUAAUGAACCGUGAGGCUUAACCUU
rnacentral:rRNA from 1 species